UACGAAGGGGGGCUAGCGUUGCUCGGAAUCACUGGGCGUAAAGCGCACGUAGGCGGCUUCUUAAGUCAGGGGUGAAAUCCUGGAGCUCAACUCCAGAACUGCCUUUGAUACUGAGGAGCUCGAGUCCGGGAGAGGUGAGUGGAACUCCGAGUGUAGAGGUGAAAUUCGUAGAUAUUCGGAAGAACACCAGUGGCGAAGGCGGCUCACUGGCCCGGUACUGACGCUGAGGUGCGAAAGCAUGGGAGGCAAACAGG
rnacentral:rRNA from 1 species